rnacentral:rRNA from 1 species
UCGGGCAACCGAGUUGUAAUUUGGAGACGGGACACUAGAGAGGAGGAAGGCGAUUAAGUGCCUUGGAACAGGCUGCCGUAGAGGGUGAGAGCCCCGUGAAUCGCUGGAGACCGAUCAAUUAGUGCCCGCCGAAGAGUCGAGUUGUUUGGGAAUGCAGCUCUAAGUGGGUGGUAUAUUCCAUCUAAGGCUAAAUAUUAGCGAGAGACCGAUAGCAAACAAGUACAGUGAUGGAAAGAUGAAAAGAACUUUGGAAAGAGAGUGAAAUAGUACGUGAAAUUGUUGAAAGGGAAGGGUAUUUGAUCCGACAUGGUGUUUAGCAGCGGCCCGUUCCUCGUGGAUGGGUGCACCUGGUUUACACUGGGCCAGCAUCGGUUCUGGGAGCCAUAUACGGGGUUCGUGAAUGUGGCCCUUCGAUUCUGUCGGAGGGUGUUAUAGCGC